AGGGCAGCCGGUGAACUGAAACAUCUAAGUAGCCGGACGAAAAGAAAGUAACCACGAUUCCGUAAGUAGCGGCGAGCGAACGCGGACCAGUCCAAACCGAUUAUGCGUGAUAGCCGGCAGGCGUUGCAUAGUGGGUGUUGCGGGACUCAUUUUCUCAGGUCUGCCGAUCUGGGCACAUGAUGUUUCUUGUAUAGUCGAAUCAUUUGGGAAAGUGAUCCAUAGUGGGUGAGAGACCCGUAGACGAAAUGCA
rnacentral:rRNA from 1 species